GGCGGGAUAGCUCAGUCGGUAGAGCGAGGGACUGAAAAUCCCUGCGUCCGCGGUUCAAUUCCGCGUCCCGCCACCA
rnacentral:tRNA from 1 species